UGGCAUUGCCACAGUGGUGACUAAGUGAGGUGUCUUGUGUUUUCCAGAUCGUCCUGAACGAAGCAACAAAACACCAACUGACAUUUUACCUCAGAUUUCUUUUUCCGGUUCCACUGAUACAAGAGGUCAAAUUUCAGAAUUUUCUGCAGAAGUAACAGAUAUUGGUUUUGGUAACCGCUGUGCAAAGCCCAGAGGACCAAGAGAGCCACCCUCAGAAUGGACAUGAUGCAAGAACUAAUGGACAUACUGUUGAUAAGUUAUACUGGAAAACUCAAGUGCCACUGAGAACUAGAGAAAUAGUGUUCCACUUUCCUGGGGGGCGACUAACAGAGCAGUGUAGAUCUAACUAUCAAUGGUACAUUCUUGCAGUACAUCCCACGCAAAACCUGACACAUGGUUCACAACAGUGGAUUCCAGUAUUACAACCUAACUUUUUGCUGGGGCCAUCUACCUGCCUUACUACACUUAGGAGAAAGUAUUACAUAUGAUUUAUUUUGUAACUUCAAGUAUUAUUGCCUUAAUGUCUUUUAACCCUGUUACACGCUGCUUGUAGACAUAUGUUAAUAUAGUAAUACUUUUGACAGAUUGUGUUUAUGGACUACUUUUUGCUAACAUUUGAUUACCAUGUAUGCAUUAUUUUGUAUAUGUACAGGGCAAGUAAGUAUAUAAUUUGAUAAAGUUGCAAUCAUAAAAUAUUAACAGAAGAUGUAAGAAAUCUCUGCAUGAUCUAAAUUUUUGUGUACCUUAUUUGUAAAUUAUUUGCCCUGAAGUUUUAGAAAAUAGUUUCUGGGGUUUUUUACAAAAAUUGCUGGACACACACAGCCAGAAUUGCAGGUUAGCAGAGAUAAAGAUUGUAAUGCAUUUUGUAAAUUGUAAGCAAAAGGUUAUUUUUAUAUUAUAUGCUGUUUAAUUGUCAGACCUGAUUUGUUCUGGUUUUCAUCUAGUCAUGGAGAUUCAGUAAGUGCCUUGGAACAGUAUUGAAUUCUCUUAGCCUGUGUAUGUUACUUCAGUGUUUUGAGUUCAUCUGGAAUUAGAUUAUCAAAGAUAUUUGUAAAUUUCUUAGUAUAUUUGACCUGCCAGUAAAACAGAAACCAUUUCACAUAAUCAACACUCCUUAGUUUUCAUUUUAAUGUUUCAUCAGUUGCAAUCUUUAGAAAAUUCAUCUCUAUCACCUUUCUGUAUAGUAGGAUUUUACCGUUUUAAUAUGGCGUGUUUCUAAUUUGGGAAAACCAGAACACACUGGUAAAAUGACUGUUUCAAUACCACUGUCUUCUCUUACAGAUGGGGAAUACAAUUUCUGUUGUUCAGCAACUGUGUAUGUAAGAAAGCAACUUAUAUGAAGGUUCACCUGGAGCCCUUGCAGCUACACUGUAUCUUGGCAAUAUAUUAUGUCAAGAGUUAAUCCUUAUAAGGAUUCCUUACUUAAACUUUUC
rnacentral:lncRNA from 1 species